AUACGGGGGGGACUAACGUUGUUCGGAUUUACUGGGCGUAAAGGGUGCGUAGGCGGACCUUCAAGUCGGAUGUGAAAACUAUAGGCUCAACUUAUAGCUUGCAUUCGAUACUGUCGGUCUUGAGUGAAUUAGAGGAAAGCGGAAUUCCAGGUGUAGCGGUGAAAUGCGUAGAUAUCUGGAGGAACACCAGUAGCGAAGGCGGCUUUCUGGGAUUAUACUGACGCUGAAGCACGAAGGCUAGGGGAGCAAACAGGAUUAGAAACCCCAGUAGUCC
rnacentral:rRNA from 1 species